UACAGAGGUCCCAAGCGUUGUUCGGAUUUACUGGGCGUAAAGGGCGCGUAGGCGGCCACCGCAAGUCGACUGUGAAAUCUCCGGGCUUAACCCGGAAAGGUCAGCCGAUACUGCGGGGCUAGAGUGCAGAAGGGGCAACUGGAAUUCUCGGUGUAGCGGUGAAAUGCGUAGAUAUCGAGAGGAACACCUGCGGCGAAGGCGGGUUGCUGGGCUGACACUGACGCUGAGGCGCGAAAGCUAGGGGAGCGAAUGGG
rnacentral:rRNA from 1 species